rnacentral:SRP_RNA from 1 species
UGUCGGUUCUCCCGCAACACUACUCUGUGAAUUCGGUCAGGUCCGGAAGGAAGCAGCCGCAGCGGACGAUGUGUGUGCCGGGAUGUAGCUGGCAGGG